AAACAUCUGGAGUCGUGCCCAACAAGACUGUGAGUCGCAAGGAUCUCAUCUGGUGACCAUAAAUGAUGGGGCAGAAGAGAGAAGUGUCCUUAAGUUUGGAGGUGCUGCCAAAAUGUGGAUGGGCCUGCGUGGUUUCAGAAACUCCAUAACUCCAAACUGGAUCUGGGUAUCAGAUGAUGCGAGCCCAGUGGUUUAUUUUAACUGGAAUGAGCAGAGUCAAGUUCUUUGGAGAAAUUUGCAAUACGGGUGUGCAUAUGUUGACAAAGGUGCGUCAUCAUGGUACAGGACCAAGACCUGGUUCUUGAGCGACUGCCAAGAACGAUACUAUUGGAUGUGUGAGAAGGAGAUGGACACAUGCAAAUGUUGAUUUUACCUCUCACCGCGUCUGUGCAUCAUUUCAUGUUUACUUUGUGCUUUUUACCAUAAACAACGAAAUAUCUCUAAAUAUUCGGAAGUC